CUGAGGUUGGGUGGGCCGUCUGGACCGAAGCUCCCUCUUCCCGCGGUGGCCCAGCCCCGUCCCCCUGGCUGCCCCGUUCCCUGGGGGGUGCUCCUGGCUGCUCCCUGGGCUGAGGUCAGCUGUGUCUUGUGGCUUAGGCGGGAUGAAGCUGCUUGCAUGCACAGUGUCCCGAGCUGUGAAUUGCUUGGGUGGCAGUUUCCGUGUUUGUGCAACACUGUGUUUUUCCGAUGGAGCAGAGCCCUCCCCGUGACUCCACACAGACGGGAGUGGAGUUGGGCUCUGCGGGUCCUGCAGGCUGACGGCCGCGGAGUCACACAUUAGUUACAACACGUUUAUAAACCUGCUUUAUCAUCAAAACUAGGCUGAAUGCUGCAGGAGUACUAUUCAGCUUAAGACACGACCCGCCCUCUUGCCGAGGAAAGUACCAGCAGGGAGAGGCGUGCCGCACACUGGAAGAGCUGGGCUAAGGGCCCGCGGCACGUGAUGAAAGAGCGUGAACACUGAGUCAGAGAAAAACUGAGUCUGAAUUUCAGCUCUACCUCCUUCUGGCUCUUUAUUCAGAUAAUAGUAUUUCUCCAGCUGAGUGUUUGCAGAGAUGAAACAAACCACCUUACGAAUAGCCCAGCACUGUGUGUGUGUGUGCAUAGCCUAAGUCUUUUCAAUAAAAACUACGUUUCUCUGUUACUACAUCACGCAGAAACGGUUGGGAAGAUUUUUCAUCAAACGUGAAGGUUGCAUUUGGGAUGUCUGACAGAGUACAGGUCCGUAGUGUUCGCCAAGGAGAGGUCGCAUCUGAGGUGGCGGACGUGACGUCAUGCACCGGUGCUGACGGGCAGGCUGACGCCUCGGCCCCGCUCUCGCCCGGUCUAAGGAUGGGAUUGGGUGCUGGUCACUGUGUCCGGGUCCAUCUUUAGAAUCUUCCUGGGACUCAGACAGUUUUAGGAUUCAGGCUAACUCUCACCCGUCGCCCUCGCUGGUGUGGGAACUGUGGCCCCAGAUCUCAGCCCUGGAGCCCGCCUGCAGGACAGGAAGCCUGCUGGUUUUGGAGGACGGGACGGAAUGCGAUAUGGUCCCCAGGGGAGCGACCGGGACGGCUGGGUCACCUCCUCAACCGGGGGGCAGACCGUGGUGCAGGUUCGGAGCCACCCCGUGUUUAGAAAAGAGCAGCGGUUAGUUCGCGACAAGGCAACGCAGCUCCUGCUGCAGAGGGGGCUUCCCUGGUGGCGCCGGGGUUAAGCACCCGCCUGCCGAUGCAGGGGACACGGGUUCGAUCCCUGGUCCUGGAAGAUCCCACAUGCUGUAGAGCCACUGAGCCCGUGCGCCACAAUGACUGAGCCUGCGUGCUGCAAUUACUGAAGCCUGCUCCGCAGCAAGAGAAGCCCCUGCAGUGAGGAGCCCGCGCGCUGUAAAGAAGAUGACACCCCACUCGCCACUAGAGAAAGCCCAAGUGCAGCAAAGAGGACCCAACACAGCCCAAAAUAAAUAAAAUAAAUAAAUAAACAAAUUUAAAAAAAUAAUGGAAAAAUAAACUUC